rnacentral:rRNA from 1 species
UCCCAGCGGUCCAAGUCGCAGCCACAAUUAUUGGGUCUAAAAUAUCCGUAGCUCGCUUUGCAAGUCUCUUGUGAAAUCGGGCAUCUCAAGUGUCCGGCGUGCAAGAGAUACUGCUUAGCUAGAGACCGGGAGACGUAAGAAGUACGUCAAGAGUAGCGGUAAAAUGCUCUGAUCCUUGACGGACUAACAACAGCGAAGGCAUCUUACGAGAACGGAUCUGACAGUGAGGGAUGAAGGCUAGGGGCGCAAAGUG